UGACCUUCACCGCGGGGAAACUGCCUCC
rnacentral:sRNA from 1 species